rnacentral:lncRNA from 1 species
UCCCAGCUGGUGUGUGCGCUAGUGUGGGCAUUGGUGGCCACAUCAGUGGAGGUGGUUAUGGACUCAUAUGCGUAAGUACGGUAUUGCUGCAGAUAAUGUCAUAGAUGCUCACAUAAUCGAUGUGAAUGGUAACCUUCUUGGCAGACAAGCCAUGGGUGAGGAUCUAUUUUGGGCCAUUAGAGGAGGUGGUGGAGCAAGCUUUGGAGUCAUUGUGGCUUGGAAGGUAAAACUGGUUCCAGUUCCAUCAACCGUGACAAUGUUUGAUGUUUCAAGGACAUUGGAAGAGAAUGCAACCGAGAUCAUUCAAAAAUGGCAGCUUGUGGCCCAUAAAUUGGACGAACGCAUAAUAAUUAGGGUGGACAUAACAAGGGUUAAUUCAAAUAAACAUGGAAAGCUAACAAUACAAGCCAGAUUUGUGUCCUUGUUUCUGGGAGGAGUAGAAGAGCUUAUUCCAUUGAUGCAAAACAGCCUCCCAGAGUUGGGUUUGGACAGAAACGACUGUAAAGAGACGAGUUGGAUUGGCUCAGCUGUUUUCAACAAUGCUUUGUUGAUUGGAUCUUCAGGCAAUGAACCCCCGGAAUCUAUGCUCAACAAAACUCAAAUUCGUUUUGGAAAUUACAAAGGAAAAUCUGAUUAUGUGAAAAAACCUAUUCCUAUCGAGGGAUUACGAGGAUUAUUGCGUUUGCUUUGUGACGCUAAGGUUGAAUAUCCUCUAGUUCAAUUGGCUCCUUACGGGGGCAUAAUGAACGAGAUUUCAGAGUCUGAAAUUGCGUUCUCGCACAGAUCUCAAUACAUUUAUCAUAUACACUAUGGGGUCACCUGGCAAGAGGAAGGGGACGAGAUAGCACAAAGGCAUAUGGAUUGGAUUAGAAGACUCUAUAAAUAUAUGGAACCUUAUGUUUCAAAUUCUCCAAGAGCUGCAUAUAUAAAUUACAGAGACCUUGACAUUGGGGUAAAUAACAAUGGUUUCACAAGCUACACCCAUGCCAGCAUUUGGGGUUUGAAGUAUUUCAAUAAUAACUUCAAGAGAUUGGCUAAAGUGAAGACCAAGGUUGAUCCUAAAAACUUUUUCAGGAACGAACAAAGCAUUCCUAUACUGUCCGUGGAGACAAUCCAGCAUAAGAGAAAACAGCUGAAAGUACCUUGGAGACAACCCACAACCAAGACUUUAGUUGAAUAAGCGUAAACACUUUCGAAACACCCACCACUCCCCCUUUCAAAAUUACCUUAUUCAUGCGCCUCUAAAUCUCAUUUAAUACAACAGUCCAGAUGGUUCCCCAAAUCACAUUAACAAAUUCUUAUGCACUACACAUCCUAAACUGUAGGAAGUGAAAGAAAGCAUCAGAAUGAUCCACAGACGCCAAACCUAACCAAGCGUAACACUGACUCCUGACCAACCAAGCUAUUAUGCACUAAAAAACAAAUGACUAUAGGACUCCUCUUCCACCCUGCACAUAAUACAUCAAACAUUCCUGAGCUCUACCCCUCUCCUUACCAAAUUUCCUUUGGUGGCUAACUUAUUUUCAAAGACCCUCCAAGCAGUGACUUGGGCCGAAGGCAAAACCUUAGUCUUCCAAAACAUAACAAACCCAAUAUUGAUCCUCCCUUCAGGCUCACCCCUUAAGAGAACAUAAGCAUAAUUAAUCGUGUACAUAGAGAACUCAUCGUUCUUCUAGACCCAGCCAUCAUCCAUAUCCAAACUAGCCUCAGUCCUUGGAGCAUCUCAAAAUGUUGUCUUUCUAUAUCCUUUUCCCACUUGAACAAGUUCCUUCUCCAAAGAAGAUUCCACUUUCAGACUCCGUCAACCAAAUACCCACACUCAGCCACUUUAGACUCCGGCAGACAGCUCAAAGAACACAAUCUUGGAAAAACACUCUUCAAGUUACUGCACCCCUUCCAAUUAUCUUCCCAAAAACUGAUAGACUUCCCAUUUUCAAUCUUCCACUUGAAACGAUCUUCAAACCUCCUUCCCCAACUCUCAAACUCCCAAACCUCUUUCAAAACUUUCCACCAAAGGGACAUCUUAGCAGGAUUCCUUUGUUCUCUCAGACUUCUCCACCCUCCGUAUUUAAACUCAAUAACAUCCUUCCACAAGCCUCCCUUGUCUGUCCCGAGACGCCAAAUCCAUUUCCCUAAAAGUGCUAUAUUGAAAACUUUCAAAUCAAUAAUGCCAAGACCACCUACCUCACAGGGCUCACAGACUUUCUUCCACGCAGUCCAAGCAAUUUUUCUCCCCUCCAACCCCCACCCCUAAAGGAAACGCCUCUAAAUUUUGUUGGUUUUAUUAGUGUCUAAGUUCAAGAGGAGGGUGAAUUGAACUUAUAAAAUUUUCAAAUAGAUUCAGGUAUUUCACGAAAUAUAGUAAAAGAAUCGAUUUAUUGAUAGAAAUUAAAAAUUAACUAGUACACUAGAAAAUACUUUAAUUUUAAUUCGUUCAAUAUUAUUGAUAAAAGUAUCUUAAAAACUUUUCCGUGAUUAUGAUUUGAUGAUAAUCGUUAAUUUAUAAAAUUCAUAUUUGUAGACAAUAUUUCAUGAGUGUAACAUGUUUAAAUGAAAAAGGAAAACUUAUCUUUUGACACUGAAGCACACACUUCACAAUUCUUUAUAAUAAUAUAAUAGUAUUUUUAAUUAAAAAAUAAAAUAAAAAUAUUAAUGUUUUAUGAUGUUACAUUUCACAACUCUAUCAUAAUAUAAUAAUAUUUUAAAUUAAAAAAAUAUAAAAGUAAUUAAAAUAUUAAUAUAUCACUUCUCAAUAAAAAAAAAAGUUGUCAGAAAAAUAUAUUAUUAAAUUUUUGAAUAUGGUAAAUAAAACAAUAAGCAGUGAAAAUCCCUUAUUUAAUUCCUUCUGUGUGCAAGCAACUUUUUCUUCUAUAAAAAUGCUCGAUACUACAUAUCGAUAGCUAUUAAAAAUAUUUAUUUAACUGAGUUUCUCUUUAUUAAAUAUGAAAUAAUGAAAUAACAAAAAAUUUAGACAUUGUUCACAUAAGUUAAAAUAAUGUAAUUUUUUUUGGUGCUUACUUUUUUUUAUUAAAAAAAGAAUUAAAAAAUAAAAAUAAAUCACUUCAGGAGUGUUCCUGCCCUUAUACAAAUAACACUUUAAACUCUUCCUCACUCUCAAGAAAUAUCCACUGAACAAACAAGACCACAAUACUAACAUAAGACACUCACAUCAAAAGAUCAAAAAGUCAGCCUCUGUAGGGAUAUUGUGUGCGGAAACGUAAUAAUUUCAACCAAAAGAUUAUGAGAAAUUAAAGUAACAAGUAAAGUGAGAAUGAUACCAAAAUUUUUAUGUGGAAAACCCCUUUAAAUAGAGGUAAAAAAACCACCGGCGAGAGAGCCAAAACUUCCACUAUAAUGGUAUUGGGAGUACAAUGAAUUCCUCUCAAGCUAAUAGAUAAAUAGCCCUAAAACAAAUUCUCUCUAUAUGGGUUAAACACUUACACCCAAGAGAAGAAAUAAAGAGUAUAGGAAAAGAGAGAGGAAGCAAGUGUGUGUUGUUGCUUGUUGUGUGUUACAUUGCUUGAAGGAAGCCACUAUAUAUAGUGGUUCUAGGAGACAACAAUAAUAAAUACAACUAAUGGUAAUUAAUCUCCCUUUGAUGACAAUUAAUUGUAGUAAGAAACCUCCAUUUGAUUACAAUUUAAUUGUGGCAAGUAACCUCCCAAUUAUGCCAAGAAAACGGAAAUGUGAGUCAUAACCCACAAAUCUCCACCUUGACUUGCCUUUGACUGGAACACUAAGCCUUGAUUAAGUAUGGAUAAUACCAGCUAAGUUCAGGCAAUGAUCGAACUUAGCCGAUGGAAGUGGCUUGGUCAACAUUUCUGCAGGAUUUUCGGCCGUAUGAAUUUUUUCAACAAUUAUAUCUCAUGUAUCAACAAUGUCUCGGAUAAAAUGGUGUUUAAUUUCAAUGUACUUGGUCCUUGAGUGAUACUUACUGUUCCUGGUUAAGUGGACAACACUCUGACUAUCACAAAAUAUAACAAGAACAUCUUGUUGAAGACCAAGUUCACUUACCAAGCCUCGAAGUCAUAUAGCCUCUUUCAUACCUUUUGUAGCAGCAAUAUAUUCUGCUUCAGUGGUGGACAAAACCGCAAUGGCUUGAAGUGAAGAAUACCAACUGAUAGCAGAUCCACAUAGGGUAAAAAUGUAGGCUGAAAGUGACCUUCUCCGAUCUAAAUCACCACCAUAGUCAGCAUCAACAUAGCCAACUGCUCAUCCGAGAUCGGCUCUAUGUUGAUCAAAUACCAAACCAAGAUUUGGAGACCCUUUCAGAUAACGAAGUAUCCAUUUAACGGCUUCCCAGUGUGCCUUGCCUGGAUUAUGCAUGAACCUGCUAACAAUGCUAACAACAUAAGCUAAAUCAGGUCUAAUACAUACCAUAGCAUACAUGAGACUUCCAAUUGCAUUUGAAUACGGGACAUGUGACAUGCGCCUUUUGUCCUCGUCUGAUUUUGGACACUGAUCUGAUGACAACUUGAAGUCGGCGGCAAUUGGAGUAUUAACAGCUUUGCAAUCUCGCAUUCCAAAUUUGUCAAGCAUCUUAAGAACAUACUUCUUUUGUGAUGAUAGAAAAAGUUUUCCAGCUUGACGAUCUCUGUUGAUCUCCAUUCCUAAAAUUUUCUUGGCAGGACCUAAGUCCUUCAUAUCAAAUUCACUACUAAGCUGAGCCUUUAACUUGUUAACUAAAAAUUUAUCUCUUGCAGCAAUCAACAUGUCAUCAACAUAUAACAACGAGUAUAUAAAUGACCCAUCAUAUGUCUUUUGAAAAUAGACACAAUUAUCAUAGCUACUUCUGGAGUAACCAUUUCCAACCAUGAAAGAAUCAAACCUCUUAUAGCAUUGUCUUGGUGAUUGCUUCAAGCCGUAGAGAGAUUUCUUCAGACGACAUACAUGAUCCUCCUUUCCAGGAACAACGAACCCCUCAGGCUGCUGGAUGUAAAUCUCUUCCUCAAGAUUACCAUGAAGAAAAGCAGUUUUCACAUCUAACUGUUCCAUCUCCUAAUCAUACAAGGCAACUAAAGCAAGUAAUAUACGUAUUGAAGUAUGACGAACAACAGGAGAAAAUACUUCAUUAAAGUCAAUACCUUUCUCUUGGUCAAAACCUCUUACAACAAAUCUUGCUUUAUUCCUUGUACUCUCAACACCAGGGAUCCCUUCUUUUCUCUUAAAGAUCCACUUGCAACUAAUGACUCGUUUUCCUUCUGGUAACUUCACCAAUUCCCAUGUUUCGUUUUUUAGAAGACUCUCAACUUCUUUUUGCAUAGCAGUAAUCCACUUUGUUGAGUCAUCACCAGAGAUAGCUUCAGAGUAAUUCUUGGGUUCACCUUCUUCACCCAUCUCUUGUGCAAUAGUUAAAGCAUAAGCAAUGUUGGCAGAUUCUGCAAUUAAUCUUUGAGUCGGUUUCCUUGGUCUCUGUUGUGGAAGUUCUUGAGUCAUAGACCACGGCUGUGGUAACCCUCGUCGUUAAGGUGGACAUUGCUCAUGUGGACUCAAAUGUUCAUUUGUACCAUCAGUAGCAAUGAUUUGAUCACCUUGAGUACUGGAGGAAUUGAGAGCGUCUUCCUCAUGAGCGGGUGUUUUAAUCUCAAACUCCACAUUCUCUCGAGCAUCUUCCUGGUCACCUGUAUCAAUUAAGGAAAUGACAGUAUCUCUUACAAAAGAGAGCAUAGCAUUUUCAUUAAAGAUCACAUUCCGACUGUGAAUUAUUUUGUGAGAUUCUGGGUCAUACAAACGAUAGUCUUUAACCCUUGAGCCAUAACCCAAGAAAAUGCACUUCUUUGUACGAGGUUCUAAUUUUCCCUCGUUUACUUGAGAAUAAGCAGAGCAACCAAAUAUUUUAAGAUUAGAAUAAUCAACAGGGUUACCUAACUAAACUUCUUAUGGAAUGUUGCAAUCAAUUGAUCUGUUAGGAGAGCGAUUUAUCAGAUAACAUGCCGUUGAAGCCGCUUCAGCCCAAAAAGAUUUGCUCAAACCAGAAUACGAGAACAUGCAACAAACUCUCUCUAGGAUAGUUCUAUUCAUUCUUUCUGCAACCCCGUUCUGUUGUGGAAUACUUGGGAUGGUGAAGUGUCUGGAAAUGUCAUCCUUCUUGCAGAAAUCAUUGAAUUCAUUCGAACAGAACUCAAGGUCAUUGUCUGUCCUUAGCCUCUUUAUCUUCUUGCCAGUCUGAUUCUCAAUCAAUAAUUUCCACUCUUUAAAAGUGGAAAAUGCUUCAUUCUUAUGUUUGAGAAAAUACACCCACAGUUUUCGUGAGAAAUCAUCAAUAAUUGUCAUCAUAUAACGACAUUUACCUCUAGAGGGAACUUUUGACGGACCCCAAAGAUCCGAAUGAAUAUAAUCCAAAGUACCUUUGGUUCUGUGUAUGGCUUUAGAAAAACUAACCUUUUUCUGCUUACCGAAAACGCAAUGUUCACAGAAAUCAACCUUUCCAGUACAGUGGUUACCAAGGUGACCCUUCUUCUUGAGGAUUAGAAUUUCCUUCUCACUCAUGUGGUCUAAUCUCAUAUGCCACAACUUGGUGUUAUCUUUGUUGGGUGAGGCAACAGCUGUAGAACCUGUUACUGUUGAACCCUGCAGCACAUACAAACUAUCACAUCGAAUUGCCUUUAGUAACAUAAGAGCUCCUUUAGACACUUUUAAAACUCCACCUUCAGCUAAGUAUCUACACCCAUGAGAUUCAAGGGUGCCUAAGGAAAUGAGAUUUCGUUUCAACUCGGGGACAUAUCUGACACCUGUUAAAGUUCUAACAAUUCCAUCAUGUGUCUUGAUUUUGAUUGUUCUUUCACCAACAACUGUGCAUUGAGCACCGUUUCCCAUCAAAACAAGACCAUUAUAAAUUGGUUCAAAUGUGGUAAACCAAUCUCUAUUGUGAGAGAUGUGAAAAGUGUUGGGUUUAAUAGUGCCAAAGUUCAAGAGGGGGGGUGAAUUGACCUUUUAAAUCUUUCUCGCAGAAACAGUGUUUAACACAGUUUACAGAAAAUAAAUCGAUUUAUGUGUAAAUGAACAGAUUUAUUUUGGCACUAUUUGUGUUUGAAAAGCGUUUAUACAGCAAGGUUAAUCACUAGAUUAUGCAGAUAGAUUUUCCAGACGCACACACACUGAUAUUAGAUUUGAAAAACAGUGAAUCACCAAAACAGCAACCUUCAAUUUCAAGCAAGUGAUUAAGGUUCAAUUAAUGGCUUGACAGUUUAUUGAGUGAUCUAAUCAACAUGUUCUAAUGGCUUUUAACAGAUUAUAAGUGUUCUUAUUGAAAUCAACCGGUUUUCCAGAAAUUAAGAACAAUAUGAACCGUGCCCAGAAAGAACAGAUUUAUUUUUAAUUGAACAGAUUUAUUUCUUUGUUGUUUUAUGAAUUAUGCAGAAACUUAAUUGCAGAGAUUGAGAGAGAAUGAACACAAGGCAGUUAUACUGGUUCACUCAACUGAGCUACAUCCAGUCUUCACCUACCACAAGGUGAAAUUCACUAAAUCACAAUACAAACAAACACAAUUCCCACUGUUCUUGAAACCUACAAGAACUUAGGUACUCUUGCUGAAAAAACCUAUUUCAGCUCACACACACUCUUCAAGAAAACCUAUCAAGAAGAGUGUUCAACCAAACUAUUACAAGAAAUGAGAAGUGAAACGACUACACCUGAUUGAGGAUACAAAGAUCUGCCUUAAACUAGUAGGCAAGAUUGCUAGAACAGUAGCAGCACCUCACACCAAGCUUUUGGAACCAAACCAAGAACAAGCACUUUGUGAUUUUCGAAAUCUUUGAAGAACAAAUGCUAAUCCUUUGUAAACUCUUAAUUCUCUUCUGUAAAACUUGUUUUUACAAAUGUAUGAACGAUGUUUUAACUCAGAAACAAGUUUUCAUUUUAUAGAAAACCAACUUAUAAAAGAAUUUUGAAAAACAGUUAAAGCUGUUAUAAAAUGAACUUAUUGAAAAUGAAAUGAACAAAUUUAUUUUCAAAAGCAGUUAGAGAAUUUGUUAAGUGAGGAGACUUAGUCAACCAUUCUGGUGUAGAGAUAAAACUGAAAAACGUUUAAGCUAGAUAUGGCACCAGAGACAAAAAAAAUCUAUUCAUUUACAGAUGAACAUAUUUAUUUUUCAAAACAAAAACAGAAAAGCUUAACUAUUUGAAACACAGUUGUUUUGAAAGAUAGAAGACUUAGUCAAAAUACAUGAUGCACAAAAUCAAAUUUUCACAAGACUUAGCCAAGGCAUCAGUGUAAAAAAGAAUCUGUUUAUUUAGAAAAGAACAUAUUUAUUUUUAUGCAGUAAACGUGUUGUUUUGUAAAACAUGUGAAAAACAGUUUAAGAAAACUUAUGCUUGUUCUUAUCACAUGGCCAGUGGUUAUGAGGUGAGUUACUAAGCAAAAAGCCCACUCUUAGACAACCUCUAAGCACUACCUAAGACACACUUAAAGCAAAGCCAAAAUACACAUGAAAUGUACAUAGAAGUCUUCAUCAAACACAAUCUUGAAGGGGCAACAACCAUCUUCAACAAAAAGUACAACCAGAAUCAAGAAUCCAUUCAUUUUUAGACCUUUGUUUAGUGUUGGAAGCUACAAAACAAUCCCCAUCAGAUUCAGUUUCAACAAUACUAGCUUCGACAAUUUUUUCUGGUUGUUUACCAUUUCCCUUAUCUUCUCUAUCUUGCUUAUUUUUCAAUUUAUAACAUUCAGAGAUCUCGUGUCCCUUUUUCUUGCAAUAACGACAAUAUUUGGAGUUCUUGCCUGUACAUUUUGACCUAGAUUUAUGUUUAGUGUUCCUACCUUUCUCUUGGUUUCUCCCUCUAACUUGAACUAAUCCUUCACCAGAACUUUCAAAAUGAAUUUGAGUAUCAAAUAUUUCUUUGGCUAGUAAAUUAGUCUUGACAUCAUCAAAGCUUAAGGUAAGAUAAUUACCGUAUAACAUAAUUUCUUUGAAUUGUCGAUGCGAGGGUGGUAGAGAAACAAUAUGUAGAACUACUUUAUCCUCAUCAAUUUUAACAUCCAAAUUUUCCAAAUCAAUUAUGAUGGAAUUAAAUUCAUCAAGGUGAGAUUGGAUGGGAUUCAGACAUUCAGNNNNNNNNNNNNNNNNNNNNNNNNNNNNNNNNNNNNNNNNNNNNNNNNNNNNNNNNNNNNNNNNNNNNNNNNNNNNNNNNNNNNNNNNNNNNNNNNNNNNCGCUCCUUUAACCGGAGUUUGUUUGCAAGACUUUUGGUCACGUAUAGAGACUCCAAUUUACUCCAUAUGCCUGCUGUAGUUUUCUCGUUGAUGACCUCACGCAACACCUCACGGGACAAGCAUAACUUGAUUGCAGCAAUGCUUCAUCAUCUCAUCCCAUGCUCCUGGUCAUAGUGGUUGGUCUCAUCAUUUUACCUGUCAAAACUUUCUUUAAACCAUUCUGGGUGAGAACAACUAGCAUCUGGACUCGCCAGAUAACAAAGCUGAUUUUACCAUCAAAUUUCUCAAUAUCCAAUUUUGACAUUAUUGAACAACAGAUCCUGGUUGAAUUAUCGAAAAGCUCUGAUGCCAAUUUGUAGGGAUAUUGUGUGCGGAAGCGGAAUAAUUUCAACCAAAAGAUGAUGAGAAAUUAAAGUAACAAGUAAAGUGAGAAUGAUACCAUAAUUUUUAGGUGGAAAACCCUUUAAAUAGAGGUAAAAAACCACCGGUGAGAGAGCCAAAACUUCCAUUAUAAUGGUAUUGGGAGUACAAUGAAUUCCUCUCAAGCUAAUAGAUAAAUAGUCCCAAAACAAAUUCUCUCUAUAUGCGUUAAACACUUACACCCAAGAGAAUAAAUAAAGAGUAUAGGAAAAGAGAGAGGAAGCAAGUGUGUGUUGUUGUUUGUUGUGUGUUACAUUGCUUGAAGGAAGCCACUAUAUAUAGUGGUUCUAGGAGACAACAAUAAUAAAUACAAUUAAUGGUAAUUAAUCUCCCUUUGAUGACAAUUAAUUGUAGUAAGAAACCUCCAUUUGAUUACAAUUUAAUUGUGGCAAGUAACCUCCCAAUUAUACCAAGAAAACGGAAAUGUGAGUCAUAACCCACAGCCUCAUACAAAUCAUUGAAUCCAAACACCAAUUAGAAAAAGAAAACAACCUAAAACGAGACUUAGAACAAAUCCAAGACCAAACCUUGACUUGAACCAUUACAAACAUUUCAGACACAUCGGCCUUUCCCCUAUUAAAAAUGAUAUUGUUCCUGUGUUUCAAAAUUUCACUCACGACUCCAAAACAAAUUGGGGAGGGAAGUUUGAAGAUCGUUUGAAUUUGGAGGUCGGAAACGGGAGAGAGGUUAUGUUUUGGUUAAACAAUUGGAUAGACUCAGAAGACUUGAAGAGCAGAUUUCCAAGGUUAUUUUCUUUGUCUGUAAAUAAGGAGGGAAAUUUAUGUGAUUGUGGAAUAAGGGAGAACAGGACGUAGGAGUGGAACAUAAGGUGGAGAAGGGGCCUGUUCGCUUGGGAAGAGGAGCAAGAAAGUCAACUUUUAGAGUUGAUCUCUAAUAAGAAGCUAGAGAUGGAAACAGUGGAUAAAAUGCGUUUGGAAGGAUGGUGAUUUAACAGAGUUUUCAGUUAAGUCCGCUUAUGGGUUUUUAAGGGGAGAAGGAAGUGAGGAAGACUUAAAAAGAUAUAAAUUUUUUUGAGAAAUUAAGGCGCUCCCCUUAGCUCAAGUCACAACUUGGAGAGUGUUUAAAAACAAGGUUGCUUGUAGGGUUAAUCUGGAGAGAAGAGGAAUCAGGAUCGGGAGUAAUCUAUGUUGCUUGUUGUACCGUCCCGUACCUGGGCGUUGACUAAGUCAAGGUCAAAGUCAACACCAGGGGCAAAAGUCAACACAGGGUGUCGCCUAGGUGAAGAGAACUAAGUGCCAGCGUCGUCAAGAAAGAGGGCGUCGCCAAGGCACGGCGUCACCUAGAAGGAGGCGUCGCCCAACCAGGGCGUCGCCAGAUCAAACAUUACCAAAGUAAGGCAAUCACAGUGUGGUUCCCCGAUACCCAUGGGUAGGAAAGACCAUGGAGGGAGCCACACCGUGGGAAGGCCUCAGGUCCCGAUAGCCCGGGGCAGCGAUAAAGAGAACGAAAAGGUGGCUUCAAGGCCAUAGUGAUAGCACCAGUAUAGGGCAGCCUGACUCGUGAAGUACCCCUGCUGCCCCAGAGACGCCUUUGGGACAGAUACGACUCAAGAGGAAGGUCACGCCCAGGGUAGCCGGGUGCAGGGUACGAGAGGAAGGCAGAUACGCUCUCAAAGUAAGUGACUAGAUAAUUGGGGGCAUGAGUUGGCACCCAAAAAGUCACCCCUAGCGCAGUAGCACUCCCAAGCAGGAGGACUCACACAUAGAAACGUCCCCAGAUGGGCAGAAACGCCCCAAGAUGGGGUCAAGGCGUCGUGAGACCCUCCACGUGUACGACAGCCAGGUCAGAAUAGAAACACCCUUUAGUCAGGUGCCAGGUAAUUAACGUCAUUCAAUACAGUUUCCGUUUCGAGCGUUCAGGUGCUAUGAUGGCUCCCAAGCAUUUCAACGUCUUAAAUGCGCUAUGUUUUCUAAUUAAACGCUUUAAUGAGUGCGUUACGUUUGUGAUUAAAAGCGCUUUAAGGCGCUUUAAAUGCUUGGGUAGUUUAAAUAGCGCGGAGAAUGUUGGAAAGGGGGUUCGAACUUUUGGCAAAUUUACCAGAACUCUCUAGUUGCUUGCUCGUGCCUUGAGGUUACGUACAAGGGACUGGGGAAAGAUCUUUGCCUGAGGGAGAAAACAUACACACAACACACAGUUCUUUAUACCACCUUCAGAGUGCCAUACGCGGUGCUCAGAUACGGAGGUGCCCAGUUUUGGUGUUUCUUGCUGGCUGACUUGAGCGUCGGAGUGCAAACGUCCGCUAGGGCGCCCUUUUGUCCUCUUUUUGCAGGAAUCCACAGGUAACCCGUGGGAAGGAGUCCCUAGCUGACGGUUGAGGUCGCGCACGAAGACGCCCCGGUCAACCGGACGGAACACUUGUGUAGGAGGUCAGAUGAGACAACAAAUCAUUUGUUCUGCGAAUGCAAAGUUGCUUGGCUAAUUUGGAAUCUUUGUUAUGACUGGUUAGGAAUAAGAUCAGUCAAUUGUAUGGAUCCUGGGUCUCAUUUUGAACAUUUCAAGAUUCUAGAUGCACCUAUUUCAGUUAAUCUUAUUAUGGGCAACUUGUGGAUUGCAUUGGUUAGCGAGAUAUGGAGGCACAAGAAUAACUGUUUAUUUAAAGGUGGAGUGGUUGAUCAUACUGAGGUUUUCUCUCUGACACAGAUUAAGGUUUGGUCCUGAAUCUCAUCAAAGAUACCGUCAGCUUAUUUCUCAUUCUCUGAUUGGUGUCUUGAACCCUUGGUAUGUAUGCAUUCAAUUUAGUUUUAUUUAAAAGGUUGAUCCUCGUGAUUCUUUUAUUAUUGGUAGAGAUGAGAUAGACAGUAGGAGGUAUUUUUGGUUGAUAUGUAGAUGGAAAGGUUCUUUGGGAGUAUCAUUUUACUGUAUAAGGGUUGGACCACUCCUAAAGUGAUCUCAUUUAAUUUCAUUGCUAUUUACUGAAAAAAAAAGCAUAAUAAUUAAGAAUUAGUGUCUAAAACAGUCUCCUUUUUUCUCAUUAACAUGUAUUCAAAACCUUAUAUAUUGUGUACAGUUGUGACAUUCAUAGAAAGUCUCUCUGUAUCUAGUGUGGUAGACAUUGAAUAGCAUCCUCCUUCCAUCCAACUUUUAUUAUGCUCUCUUGCACAAUAGAUUAUUCAUCAGCCCUAUGAUGAUCUACAUUUGCAAUAAAUUGCUACAUAUCCAUGUUUUUCUUUUUCAAACACUUACUUACCUUUUCUCUUUUAUUUUCUACAACCCUAUUCUUGAAUUUCUUGUGUUUUAAGAAUGAUUCUAAAAAUGUUCACAAGUCACUAUCUCUUUGUUCUUUUUGGCAUUCCAACUUUCAAGCUGUAAUAUUGUUGAUGGCACUGAUUAUUUCUUCUCACCACAAGGAGACUAUGACAAAGUUGGGGUGUAUACAUGGCAUUUUGUAAGGAAGUCAACAAACCCACGAAUUUGUAUUUCCUUAAUAUGGUCAGUUGCUCCAUAAUGUUUGAAACUCUACCAUUUCUGCAACUUUGAAUGUACAAUUAUUAGAUAAGAAAUCCAAUGUUGUAAAAUCUUCAUUGCUUACAUGCUUUUGUACCUACCUAUUGACACUUUAAUAGCUUAUGUUUAUUGUGUUCUUUAAAUAAUUAAUCUGCUUUUGUUUGAUGACGUGAUUUAGAAGUUAUUUUCAAUAUCUAUGAUAUUUUCUGAAAAUUAGUUUCUGUUUAAUUUUACACUUUAGAAGAUUCUUACCAUCUAUGUUACAAUCCUACAACUAACUAUCUUUCACCCCUUCCCGAUCCUAUAUGAAAUCUUCAUUUUGACAACAUUGCUUCAACAUUGCUCACCUAAUUCACUAUUUUAAUUUUUAUUGCUUCCAGGUCUAGGACAAGUGUAAGUAAAGUUGGGAGAUUUUAAAAGUGCACUAAAAUUUGUAAAGGUCCUAGAGGUAUACCUGGAUAAUUGUGAGACAUUGAAGGUAAGUGCUUCAAAUUGAAAGAAAUUUUAGUUCACAACCCUCCCCCUCCCUCUUUUGCAUCAUUUCUCUUUCUAGGGCUUGAAUGCUUUUGCAGCAGCAACCUAAGACUAAUUUAACAUCUAACUUUAGGUAUGCCAUAAAUUGGAUAAAAUCAGUUGGGUACGCCUCUUUCUAUUUGGUGAAAUUGGUUUAGACCAUAAAUUGUAGAACAAUCUUUAAAAUCAUGUAUUGUUGAACUUCAAUAACUCCAAAUUUCAUGAUCAUCUAUAUAUUUAUGUAUGCUAACAAGCUUACAUUAAUUGUUUUCUUCAAAUCUGUUUGGGAAAAGUUGAAGAAGGAAAUUCAUGGUAAAAAUAUUAGUUAAAGAAGGAUUGGUUUACAAAAUGUGAAAGAUUUAACAUUCUUACACCAAAGUGGUCAUUCCCUUACUCAUUGACCAAUUAGGUUAUUAAUUAUUAAUUAAUUCAAAAACAUUUUUAACAAAAAAUGUUUUUAUAAUUUCCCCAAAUUUUCAUCGAAUGUUAUUGAAUGAUACCAAAGGGUAAUCAAUGUAAAAGAAAGUUGUAGACUAAGGUACAAAAUUGAUGAUUAAGUUUGUGUAUAAAGUGAAAGUUGUUAGAACAACUAGAUCAUAUCUUUUUAUCUGUCAUUGGAUGUUCUUUUUUCCUUCUCUCAUAUUGUUGUGUUGAUAUAUUGUCUUUUAUUAUAGGCGUUUGGGUAUAUAUAUGUUUAGCUUGGUCAAACUGACAAAGGGCAACACUUUAUUAGGAGAGCUACAAAAAUUGAUUCCCAGGAUGCCUAGGUGAAUGCUUUUGGUAUUUUUUUUAAUUUAUUGAACACUGUUUGCAUAGAUAUUUUUAAUUAUUUAGUGUUCCAUGUGUUGUGCAGUAUAAUGUUUUGCUACAGUUGUUUCAUUACUUAUUGAGUCCUUGUUCUACGAUGAAAAACUUUAUUAGGUUCAACUUGUUAUUUAUGCUUUUAUUUGAGUUGGUGGAGAUAUUUAAUAUUUCUUUUUCUAAAUAUGAGACUAGAUAUAUUAGAAUAAAAAUUGUCAUUUGCUUUGUGUCUUUCGUUUUUGGUGAAGUAUUUUUUUUCCAAUUAAUAUUGUUGUUAGCUCUUCCUUUUUCUGAUGCAAUUCUUCAUUUCUUGAUAUAUAAUUUCAUUAAUUAAAAUUCAAUAGAUUUCGAAUUGAUUCCUUUGGUGUAGCUAAAAGUGAAAUUGAUAAUCGAACCAACAUUCUUGAUCUAACUUCAGCUGUUGGUUUGUUCUUGAAAAAGAUUCAUUGUCUUGCAGGCAUUUCUUGAGCUGGGAGAAUUGUUAAUUCUUUCCAACACAGGAGUGCUUUAAAAAAUGUGAGGGAUUAAGAGCUUAUCAUAUGUUCUAUUUUUGGUUUGAAAAUUUUAUCUUUAUGAAUAGACUUUUGAAGUUUCAUAAUUUGUUAUGAUAUAGAUAUUGUAAUUGUGGUAGAGGCUGAAGAGAGGUCAAGAAGUACCAAUUGAAUUACUAAAUAAUAUUGGUGUGCUUCACUUUGAAAGGAUUCAAGCUUGAUUUUUUUAGUUGUAACUUAUAUGUCAUUCUUUUUUCUCAACAUAAUUGUUGUUGGAUAGUUGAAUUUAGAAGGGGAAAAUAUUCACUUUAUUAUUCAAUAAUGAGAAUAUAAUGUUACUAUAAGGAUUAUUUAACAACAUUGUUUGAGAGAAUGUAGUUCAUAGGUUCUACUUAUCAUCCAUAUGUUUAGACUUUGGUUUAUUUGAAUAAACUUCUCCACAAGUUUUUUUUAUACUAACUUGUCCAAAUACGUUUUGUUUUUAUUUUUUUUUAUUUUUUUAUUUUUUAAGGUAGUCUUAGCUUAUUAAAAAACCUUAUUGCAUUUUUUCUUUUUCUUUUCUCUUUUAAGUGUUUAUAGAAAACAUUAUCGAGACAUACCUUUAGUAAAUACUAUUUCGUUUCCUAGACUAAUAUUAAUUGAGUGCAAUUUCUUAGAUACACAAAUACCCAUAUUUGUUGUAUUCAUAGCUGUAUUAGAAUUUUGGUCAAUGUGGAAUAGGUUCGAAGUAAAUCUGCAUUAUUUGAAAAAGAAAACAUUAUAUUUUUUUUUAGAUGAUAGCAUUGUUUAUGUUCAUAAAUUUUGUUUGAUAAAAAUUAUCAAUAUAAUGAAUUUAUUUUUUAUAAUAAGAAUCAAACCUAAAUCUUUAUGUAUAUUAUUCUAACACCGGUCACUAAAUGGAUCUUAAGGAAUAAUAUGAAUGAUUUAGUAAUUUAUCAUUAUUUAAGAAAUAUCAAUAUAAUUAUUUGGUAUUAAUACGAAAUUACACCUAUAUAGUAUUAUAAAACCCUGGAAAGUAAAUAAAAAAAAGUUGAAGGACAAUAAUGUAUUAAUGUUUGGUGGUAGAAGAAGAACAGAGGGUUUGAGAAAACUGUUGGGCUAUUUUGACUCAAUAUUUUUAUUAUUUAUCAUCUUUUUUUUAUAUAAACACCUUCUAUAAGUAAUGGGGGUUUAAAAAUCGAUGACAACAAUGAGUUAGAAGUACUGAAAAUAACAAGAUUUUAAAAUCGUCGAGAAUAACAGAAAUUUAAAAACCGUCAGAAAUUAUGGAAAUUCUCAAACCGUUGAGAAUUACAAAGUUCUCAAACUAUCAAGAAUUACGAGAUUUUCAAACUGCCAAUAGUAAUAGAGUUUCCAAACCGAUGUAAAAAUUCUUAAUCAUUACAAAAAAUAAAAAAUCACAUGUAAAAGCUCUUAAUCAUUACAUAGGGAAAAAAAAUCUGAAGUGAAUACUCGUAAUUAUUACAUACGAAAAAAAAUUCAUAUAUAAAUGCGUCUAGUCACUAGGAAAAAAAAUCGUACGUAAAAUUUCAUAUAUUAUUACUAAUAUUAUUAUUAUUUAUUAUUUAUUAUUUUUAUUCUUAAUAAUAAUAAUAAAAUUAACAAUAAUAAAAAUAUUUUUAUUAUCAUUAAUAAUAAUAAUAAGAUAAUAAUAAUAUUAGUAAUAGUAAUAAUAUCAAUAUUAUUACUAGAUAAAUUUAGUUUUUAUAUUAUUAUUACUAUAAUUAUUAUAAACAUUAUAUUCAAUUAUUUCCCAAGACGAAUCACCAAAUCUAUCAACCCACACUACCUUCACCAUAUUGAUGUUCUUGCCUUUGAGCUGGGUACUCUAAUGAUUUUCAAUCUUAAUUGAUUUUACUUUAAAAGACAUGUUAUCCUUGAUUUGCACAUUAUCCAUUUCCGGUUGCAAACUCCAAAGGCUUUAUCUUCUAAUCUGCAUAUGAUUUCUGCCAACUCUGAGAGGCUUUCAUCCUUUCAUGUAUCUGUCUCACCUUCUCAAUGGUAUGCCUUAGUAACUCUGGCCCAACCAAUGUUGUCUCAUCAUCUUGGUACCAACCUAACGGAGUUAUGUGUUGAACCAAGUGGUAUUCAAUGUUUUGAAGAAUCCAAAUCCUUUGGAGGAUGUUGAAGCCUCUGCUUUGCUGUGUGUUGUUGUGCUGGUUUAAGCUUUGUUCUGGGGUAGUUUAAUGUUGUAAUCCACCCUUAGAUUAAAUCUCAAGCAAUUAGCAUCUCAAUCUUUAUCAAAGUAAAAUGUUUUUCAAACUAAGUUGAAACAACCGAUUGUUUUGUCGAAACAACCGAUUGUUUACACUUAGGUGUUUUGAGAAAGUUUGAAAACUGUUUUUGAAUGGUGAAAUCUGUUAAGUAACAAAACAACCGAUUGAUUCGAGGAAACAAUCGAUUGUUUGUUUUGAAACCAUAACAGAAAAACUGUUUUCUUUGACUGAGCUUUAAAUGCUUUAACUGAAUACGCUCCAGUCAUUAAAUGCUUUGACCAAUCUAUUUUAAAUGCAAUUAAGAGUUUGUUAAGAUUUGAUAACAAACUAUANNNNNNNNNNNNNNNNNNNNNNNNNNNNNNNNNNNNNNNNNNNNNNNNNNNNNNNNNNNNNNNNNNNNNNNNNNNNNNNNNNNNNNNNNNNNNNNNNNNNUGAGACAAAGUUUAAGAAUAACAACUAAGAGUUUUUCAAAGAGUUCUGAGAUUGCUUAAGAGUUGAGAGAUUGAUCAAGGUGCUGGAAUAGGAUUCUACUUGUAUUGAUUUCAGAUAUUCAUCUGUAACAAGUGUAAUCAUUUAAAACUGCUGAACAAUUUGUGUGUGUGCUUUGCUGAGAUUGGCUGUGUGUUCUUGAGGUGUUCAAGAUCAACAAUCUUAGUGUUGGCCAAGGAGAGUGUGUUUCUUGAGGUGUUCAAGGUCAUUCUCUUGGUUGUGGUGUAAGUGAUCAAGUGGUGAUUGCUUAGUGGUUAUCCUCAGGGUUUCUGAGAAGACUGGAUGUAGCUCUUGUUGGAGUGAACCAGUAUAAACAACUGUGUACAAUUUCUCUAUCCCUAUCUCUUUAAUUCAGUUUUGAUAUUUUGGAACUGGUAUAAACAACCGAUUGUUUUUCCAACUUUGUGCUUUUGCUGUUUGUUUUGGAAAAACUUAAUCCUUAAUCAAGGUUCUUUUGAAGAAUUUUCAUUCUAAGAUUAAAAGUUUACAAAAAUCUUUCUUAAACAAUUCACCCCCCCCUCUCGUUUAAGGCCAUAUAUUCUAACAAUUGGCAUCAAGAGCUUGGUUCUUGAAAGUUAUUCAAGUUUAUCUAAAAUAUUUUUUCUAUGGCUAGAAAACUAUCUUUUGAGGAGGGUGCUUCAAUCUACAAACCACCUUUAUUCUGUGGAUUGAAUUAUAAGUUUUGGGUAGCAAGAAUGAAAAUCUUUAUUGAGUCUAUUGAUCAAAGAAUUUGGGACUCAAUUGAGAAUGGUCCUUACAUUCCAAAAUUCAAAAAGGAUAAUUCCUUUAUUACAAAACCUUUGUCCAUUUGGACAAAUGAUGAAUGUAAGAUGGCUCAGCUUGAUAAGUCUGCUCAAAACAUUAUAGCUUAUGCACUAGAUACUAAUGAAUUUUUCAGGAUAUCAAAGUGCAAAACUGCUAAGGAAAUGUGGGAGACACUCAAGGAUGCUCAUGAACCAAAGGAAGCAAUGACAAAGAGUCAAACAAGAAGAAAGAGAAGGCAAAAUAAGAAAAGCCUCAAUCUUUGCUUAAUGACCAGAAGGGAGGAUGACUCAUGUAGUGUAAGUUCGUCAAAUUCUUCAAACUCGGAAAAUUAUGGUCAAUUGCUUCAAGCCUUUCAAGAAACGCAUGAAGAAGCCAACAGAUUGGCUCUCUUGAACAAUCGAUUGAAAGAAAAGAAUAGCUGGCUUGAAAACAGAGUAAAGGCACUGGAAGAGGAUUUAGAAAAUUCAAAAAUGGAUUUUGAGAAUCUGGAAAUCAUUUACAAAAACUCCUCUUGCAAGUGUGAUACUCCAGUUUGUGAAAAUUGCGAAAAUCUUGAAAAGAAUGUCCACUAUCUUGUUAAAACAGUGGAUAAGCUUUCUAAAGGCCAAUCUAACUUNNNNNNNNNNNNNNNNNNNNNNNNNNNNNNNNNNNNNNNNNNNNNNNNNNNNNNNNNNNNNNNNNNNNNNNNNNNNNNNNNNNNNNNNNNNNNNNNNNNNUAGAUUUUCAAAAUCAUUUUCGAAAAUGCCAGAAAAACAAUCGAUUGGACCAUCGAAACAAUCGAUUGUUACAUGCUUCUAUUGCAUGAAAAGAGGUCAUUCUGUGCGAUUCUGUAAAAUCAGAAAACAUGUUGUUCCUAAAGGGCUUAUGAAGUGGAUUCCCAAGAAAAAUAAAGCUUGUAUUGAUGAGUAUAAACCAGAUGGACCCACAUUCAUAAGGGGACCAAACCUAUGUACUUGAAAAUCUUUUUUGUAGGACAUCUUGGAGGAAAGAAAGCAACUUUGGUACUUGGACAGUGGAUGCUCCAAGCAUAUGACAUGGGACAAAUGAAAGUUCCUGAGAAUAUCCUUCAAGCAAGAGGGUCAUGUCACCUAUGGAGACAACAACAAAGGAAGAAUUCUUGGAAGAGGAUCCAUAGGAGAUGAGAGAAUCUUGGUGAUCCAUGAUGUGCUCUUUGUUGAAGGCCUAAAGCAUAAUCUUCUGAUCAUUAGCCAACUAUGUGACAAGGGGUAUCAAGUGAUGUUCAAGAAAAACUCAUGUGAAAUCUGUCUGCCCAACACCAAAGAGGUAAUGUUGGUAGGUAAGAGAGUUAACAAUGUGUAUCUUCUAGAUAUCUCUUCACCAUGUUCAAUUGGAUGUCUUCUAUCCAAGCAAGAUGAAUCUUGGCUUUGGCAUAGAAGAAUUGCUCAUAUUCACAUGAAUCAUUUGAACAAGCUAAUUUCAAAAGAUCUCGUGAUUGGGCUGCCAAAACUCAAGUUUGAGAGGGAUCACAUUUGUGAAGCUUGCCAAAAAGGGAAACAAGUGAAAAGUUCUUUUAAAACCAAAAAUGUUGUCUCUUCAUUGAGACCUCUUGAACUCCUUCACAUGGAUCUCUUUGGACCCUCUAGAACUAUGAGUCUUGGUGGAAAUUAUUAUGCUCUUGUUAUUGUUGAUGAUUUCUCUAGGUACACUUGGACUUUGUUCUUGGAAUCAAAGAGUGAUGCCUUUGUUGCAUUCAAAAAGCUAGCAAAAAGGCUUCAAAACACAAAGAACAACAACAUAGGCUCCAUAAGGAGUGACCAUGGAGGAGAAUUCCAAAAUGAGAAGUUUGUCAAGUUCUGUGAGAAGUUGGGGAUUCUACACAAUUUCUCUGCUCCAAGAACACCACAACAAAAUGGAGUUAUAGAGAGGAAGAACAGAUCUCUUGAAGAGCUUGCAAGGACAAUGCUUAGUGAGUCAUCACUUCCUAAGUAUUUUUGGGCAGAUGCAGUGAGCACCUCUUGUUAUGUGAUGAAUAGGGUGCUUAUAAGGCCCAUUUUGAAGAAAACUCCAUAUGAACUUUUCAAUGGAAGGAAGCCUAACAUCAGUCACCUCAAAGUCUUUGGUUGCAGUUGUUUCAUUCUCAACAAUGGAAAGGAAAGUUUGGGAAAAUUUGAUGAGAAAGCUGACCUUGGUAUUUUCAUUGGUUACUCACUCACAAGCCAUGCAUAUAAAGUCUACAACAAAAGGCUAAUGACUGUAGAAGAAUCAGUUCAUGUAGUCUUUGAUGAGGUAGAUCACGAAAUCAGUGAGAACCCAAAGAUCAGUGCUGAGGAAGACGAACAGAGCAUCAGUUUGGAGAAGCUAGAUAUCUGUGCAGAAAAACAACCGGUUGAUUCGCAGAAACAACCGAUUGAAAUUCUGCAACAGAGUGAGCUGCCCAAAGAAUGGAGGAUUCCUAGAGAUCUGUCUGUGGAUAACAUCAUAGGGCAGAUAAAGGAAGGUGUCUCCACACGUAGCUCCAUCUCAAACUACUGCAGACACACAACUUUUGUUUCUCAAAUUGAACCAAAGUCAAUUGAGGAAGCUCUUAAGGAUGAGAAGUGGGUUGAAGCUAUGCAUGAAGAGCUAAACCAAUUUGAAAGAAAUGAGGUAUGGUUUCUUGUCCCUAAAACUAAUGAAAUGAAUAUUAUUGGUUCAAAAUGGGUUUUCAGGAACAAGCUAGAUGAGGAUGGAGUGAUCACUAGAAACAAAGCAAGGCUAGUUGCCAAAGGCUACAANNNNNNNNNNNNNNNNNNNNNNNNNNNNNNNNNNNNNNNNNNNNNNNNNNNNNNNNNNNNNNNNNNNNNNNNNNNNNNNNNNNNNNNNNNNNNNNNNNNNCUGUGAGGCUGCUGCUGGCUUUUGCUUGUAUGAGUGGUUUUAAACUCUUCCAAAUGGAUGUAAAGAGUGCCUUCUUGAAUGGCUACAUCAAUGGGGAAGUCUAUGUAGAUCAACCACCGGCUUUGAAGAUCACAAGUAUCCCAACCAUGUUUUCAAGUUGAAGAAAGCUUUAUAUGGACUGAAGCAAGCUCCAAGGCAGUGGUAUGAGAGACUUAGCAACUUUCUGCUAUCACAUGGUUAUGAAAGAGGAAUGGUAGACAAGACUCUCUUCAUCAAGAAGUCAAAUGCAGAAAUAAUUCUUGUGCAAAUCUAUGUUGAUGACAUCAUCUUUAGUGCCACACAAGAUAGGUUGUGUGAAGAAUUUGUGACUGCAAUGAAAGGUGAUUUUGAAAUGUCUAUGAUGGGAGAACUAUCUUUCUUUCUUGGAUUGUAGGACAAACAAACAAAGGAUGGGAUCUUCCUAAGUCAAUCAAAGUAUUGCAAGGAAAUUCUCAAAAAGUUUGAAAUGGAUAAUUGCAAAUAGGCAAGCACUCCAAUGCCAUCAAGCUGCUACAUGGAUGCAGAUGCUGCUGGAAAGAGUAUAGAUCAAACAAAAUACAGAGGUUUGAUUGGAUCAUUGCUUUAUCUAACAGCAAGUAGGUCGGACAUCAUGUUUGCGGUGUGUCUAUGUGCAAGAUAUCAAGCAAAUCCUAAAGAAUCACACUUCAAAGCUGCAAAAAGGAUUCUGAAAUAUCUAAAAGGAACAUCAUUUGUAGGACUAUGGUAUCCUUCUCAUUCUUUAUUACAUUUAAUUGGUUAUUCAGAUUCUGACUUUGCAGGUUGCAAGCUAGAUAGAAAGAGCACAAGUGGCACUUGUCACCUUCUUGGCUCAAGCCUAAUCUCAUGGCAUAGCAAGAAGCAAGCAUGUGUUGCUCUCUACUGUUGAGGCAGAAUAUAUAGUUGUUGGUAGUUGCUAUGCACAGAUCCUAUGGCUCAAACAACAACUUGCAGAUUUUGGUUUACAAAUCAGCAAAGUUCCUUUGAUGUGUGAUAACACAAGUGCAAUAAAUCUUACCAAAAAUCAAAUCCAGCACUCAAGGACCAAACAUAUUGAAAUAAGACAUCAUUUCAUCAGAGAUCAUGUGCAAAAUGGGAACUGUGAAGUAAAGUUUGUGGAGACCAAACUGCAGCUAGCUGACAUCUUCACAAAGCCUUUGCCAAAAGAGAGGUUCUUCUUCUUAAGAAAUGAAUUAGGUAUUCUUGAUCUUAAUAAUCUCUCUUAAAUAUGUCUUUGAUACAUGUUAAAGUCUAUUUGUAAAGACAAAUAGGGGGAGAAUUAUUGGUUCUUGUAUAUCUGUGUCUUAUAUGCAUAAAAUGUUUAAAUCUCUGAGUAUAAAAGUGUUUUCUGUUGCUGCUGAUAGAAACAACCAAUUGUUUCGUGUAAACAACCGAUUGUUUAUUAUGUUUAAAGAGUUAUAAUCUAACUUGUUGCUGUAAGAAGCUUUGGACAGUAUAAAUGUUUUUUUUGCAAGAAUUGCUUCAGAUUUAAUCAGUACAACACAAGCACCAGGGAUUUGUCUUCAUCAAAUAGGGGGAGAUUGUUGAACCAAGUGGUGUUCAAUGUUUUGAAGAAUCCAAACCCUUUGGAGGAUGUUGAAGCCUCUGCUUUGCUGUGUGUUGCUGUGCUGGUUUAAGCUUUGUUCUGGGGUAGUUUAAUGUUGUAAUCCACCCUUAGAUUAAAUCUCAAGCAAUUAGCAUCUCAAUCUUUAUCAAAGUAACUGGAAGAAAGUGAAUGCUCUUCAGUAGUCGAUCAACUAUCCCCUAAACUGGAUCAUGACCCCUUACUGCUCUUGGUAAUGGGUAACAAAAUCCAUAGCAAUGUUAUCCCAUUUCCACUCAUGAAUAAUAAUAAAAAAAUUAUAUUAAUAAUAAUAAAAAAAAUUAUAUUAAUAAUAAUAGUAUAAAUUAUAUUAAUAAUAAUAGUAUAAAUUAUAUUAAUAAUAAUAGUAUAAAUUAUAUUAAUAAUAAUAAUAUAAAUAAUAACAAUAGUAUAAAUUAUAUUCAUAUUAUUCAUAUUAAUAAUAUUAUUAAUACUAUUCGUAUUAUUAAUAUUAUUCGUAUUAUUAAUACUAUUCGUAUUAUUAAUAUUAUUCGUAUUAUUCAUACUAUUCAUACUAUUCAUAUUAUUAAUACUAUUCAUAUUAUUAAUACUAUUCAUAUUAUUAAUAAUAAUAAGUAUAAUAAAAAUCAUAAUAAUAUUAAAGAAUUUGUUUGGUGUUGUGGUUAAAGUUUUUUUAGUUAUUGAAGGAACUUUUGUUCGAAUCUCAUCCAAUGCUGAUUUUAUUUUAAUUUCCCUUUCAUGGUGCCAAAGUUACAUACGAAAAAAUAUGUAUGUAAUACCUGUUUACAUACGGAUUUUGAUCCCCUGGAUAAUUCAUCAAAUGAAAAUCAUAAUUUCAUAAACUCCACCCAUCUUCUCUACUUCAUAUUCAACUCCUUUUAAUCAAACAAGUAUUUUAGAUUUUUGUGAUCCUUAAACACCUGUAAUUAAGCUCCAUACAAAUAAUGUCUUCAAAUCUUCAAAGUAAACACCACAAAUACCAACUCUUAGUUAUAAAUAGGAUAAUUUCUCUUAUGAACUUUGAGUUGCCUUAAAGCAUAUGUUGUCUUCUCUAACAUUAAAACACAAUUCAAUCCUUUACGUGAAGCAUCAUAAUAAACCUUGAUAGAUUUUUCUAUAUGAGAAAUCACCAACAUUGAAUUACUAACAAACCUUUUCUUCAACUCCAUGAAACUUUCCAGUAUCUCUCAGUGCAAAAGUUUGAUUUUCAGAAGUUAAUUGUGUCAAGGUGCUUCUACCUUGAAAAAAUAUCCGAAACAAAAGUGUUGUUAAUUAGUCUCAAACAGAUAGGUAGUAUACUGUGUUAUGAAAAUAUUUGCAGGUUCCUUCUGUGUCCUUUUCAACUUCAUCUUCUCCCUUGCAACCAGCGAUAUCGGUGACUUAUUAUCGCUUGAAUCUAACUCAUGAGUGAAUGAAGUCCAGCUCUAGCAACUAACUCAAAACUGGGAGAGAAGGAGUUCGCGACGGAGUUUGUGGCGGAGUUUGUGGUGGACUAGGUGGUUUAAUAGGCUUUAAAAUACUUUGAAAAGAAUGGGAAGCAGAGGAUAUAAUGGCAGGAGGGGUAACGACGGGUACUCAAACGAGUAUACCACCUUCUUCUUCUCAAAUUUCCCUCAUGGAUAUGGGGAGAUGGACAUGGUGAAGAUUUUUCAAAAACAGGCCAAGGUGAAAGAAGUUUUUAUCUCACGAAGGUUGAACAGAUGGGGGAGAAGGUUUGGUUUUGUGAGGUUUUUUUACGUGAGAAAUGUGGGACGCAUGGAGAGAGACCUGGAUAGCUUAUAUAUCGGGAACAUGAAACUUCACGUAAAUAUACCGAAAUACCGAAGGAAUACAAUGGGAAUACAUAAGGGGGACAGGAAGGAUCCAAGGGCAUCUCACUCUGGAAGGAAGAGGGAUGGAGGGAAGCGUAAGGAGGUUUGGGUGGAGAAGAAAAGGAAUUUGUCCUAUGCUGAAGCUGUGAAAGGGGAAGUGCAGUAGGAAGAGUGGAAGGGGAGAACGAUAGAAGUUGAAACGCAUAGUCUCCCUUGGAUGGAAAAAAGUGUUGUUGGGCAUCUUAAGGAAGGCAUGGACUUCGAUCAACUGAGUGAGGAUUUAGUGAAAGAAGGCAUGAAUAGGUUGAGAGCAAGAAUGUUGGGAGAUAACCUAAUCCUUCUAACCCCAAGAGAAGGGGAGAAAGCUAGGGAUAUUAUCAAGGAUAACAAUGAAUGGUUUGACAAUGUCUUCACAAGCAUAAAGUCGUUCCUGGAACGGUGAAGAGCAUGCAAAUCAAUAAACAAAGGUGUUGUAUCCUUAUUGAAGAAGAGACCCCUGUUUACUAUGGUGACUUGAAUAUGGUAAACGAGUGUGGUUAUGGAUCGUUUGUUAGUGUGUCUUCCUCGGACACAUAUGUAGAAGAAACAGCCUUUUCAACCAGAAGCGGGGAGGAGGAGAUUCAUUCGGGGUUUAGGGAGGUUGUUCGUUCAAAAGGGGAGGAGGUGGUAGGUGAGACGACGGAAGACGGUGAGCAGAGUAGGCAAAAAAUAAAUUUGCCUUUUGGGAAAUCAUAUCCAAAAAAUCUAUCAUGUCAGAGGAGUGGGUGCAGUUCCUUCAUGAAUGAAGAAAGCUUAGGCCAGAGGGUGGCUCAAGGUGCAAAACUAGAUUGUGACCUUACACAAAAUCGUAAAUACUCAUCCAACGGCUAUGCUGAAAAUGCUGAGCUGGCAAAAGCGGUCAUAGAGGUGGAGUGUUACACCCCGAUGCGAAAAAUCUGGGCCACGAGCUGGAGGCCCAUUAUCACGUAUUAUAGUCCUCAAAUCCAGCCCAAUCCAAGGAGGAUGAUCCAAGGAGGAUGGUUAUGAGGCAGGGCCUUUGCAGAAGGGUUGUGAAUGUGGGGAAGGAAAAGAAGACCGUUUGGACGACAACACGAACGGUGAAAAGGAGGAGGGAAGUGCCGAUGAGAGUGAAGGAAGCGAUAAAGGGAACCCAGCGAAGGCGCAUAUGUUAAUGACGUCGAAUGCGGUGAACGAGUGUCUACAAGUAGGGGGAGAGGAAAGAACUCUGAUCCUGGACAUUCUAGAGGAAGCAACUGAGGGAGGCAACACCUCUACUCCGCCACGAAGACGAAAGCUGAAAGGGCUCUUUGAACUAGGGGAUUCGAUAUCCUUUCUGAGAAGAUCUGUGAGACUCAUUUCAAGGAGUGCUAAAGCUAAGCCCUCUUCAAGUGGUAGAGACGGUAUGUGCUCAAACUCUGUAUCUGAUGGGGGAGUUGUCAAUUGCAAUUUACGUUUUUCUGGGCCUAGUGGUAUGGCGGAUCCAUCUAAACGGUGGGAGAUUGGAAAGAAAGCUGGGCUUAAAUGUCGGGGGGAUGAGGAAGAGGUUGUUAAUGAAUACAUCUGUUUGGAAAAGAGAGAUACAGAGGUUAUGAAGAACUAUGAGGAGGGAGACAAGAAUGAUAAUAUAUGUUGAUUGUUAAUUUGAAUAUAAGAGGAUUGGGGGGAAGUGUUAAGGCUAGGUACUUGAGACAUAUUAUUGCAAGAGAGGAUGCGAAUUUUGCUUGUAUUCAAGAAACGAAAGUGAAUGCCAUUACGGAUGCAAGAUGCUUCAACCUAUGGGGGGGAUAACAAUGUGGGGUGGCUACAUUAUGGAGGUGAUAAUGGUAGUGGAAGCUUGUUAUCCUUAUGGCAUAAAGAAGCGUUUUGCUAUGAAACACAUGUGAUGGCGAAGAAGUUCAUUGCUGUUUUUGGAAAACAUAUUAAAUCCAAUUGUAGUUGUGUGGUGGUAAAUGUUUACGCAGCCUGUUCUUUAAGUGACAAGUUAGUGUUGUGGAGGGAACUGUCAGAUUUAAAAAAGGCCUCCUCAGAUGUGGUAUGGUGUUUCUGUGGUGACUUUAAUGCCAUUAGAAAGAAUGGUGAGAGGAAAGGUGUUAGCAUGAGGGACGGCAACACGAGCGAAAUGAGAGAUUUUAAUCUGUUCAUCGAAGCUAAUCUUUUGUUUGAAAUCCCUUUGGUGGGUAAGCCCUUUACGUGGUUUAACUCUAAUGGGAAGGCCAAGAGUAGGUUAGACAGAGUGUUGGUAACCGAAGAAUGGAUGCAAACAUGGCCUAUGUGUAAGCAGUAUGUGCAAAACAGGGAGGUCUCUGAUCACUGUGCAAUAGUGGUGAAGUCUGUGGAUAAGGAUUGAAGCCCAAAACCCUUUAGAACCAUCGAUGCCCGGUUUAUGGAAAGGGGUUUUGGUGUAAUGGUUAAGGAUAAGUGGAGUUCUUAUGUAAUACAAGGGAAUGCACUCACGGUAUUAAAAGAGAAGAUGAAGAGGUUAAGGGUGUUCUAAAGGUAUGGAACAGGGUUGAAUUUGGUAAUAUGGAGAACACUAAGAAGGCUAUUUUGAAGGAAAUAGAGACGCUAGACUGCCAAGACUGCAAUGGUGCUUUGAUGAAAAGUGAGAGGCUACAUAAGAUUGGGUUGGUGAGUAAACUGAAGGAGACUGAUCAGAAGUUGGAGUCCCUUAUAUGCCAAAAAGCUAGAGCCAGCUGGUUUAAGAAUGGAGACUCAUGUUCUAAAUUCUUUCAUUCAACCCUGAGAUGGAGACGCCUCAAAAAUGAAAUUAAAGGGGUGGAGGUGGGGGGUCAAUGGUGCGAGGAACCGCCUACUGUUCGUAAGGAAGCAAAGAAGAUGUUUGAAAAAAGAUUCAAAGCCUCAAGAGACUUCGAGGUAGUAUUAGAAGGGGUGGAGUUUAAAGCUUUAACCCAGGAAGAUAAUACCAAUCUGAUGGCAGAGUUCUCAGAGAAAGAAAUGAGGGAAGCAGUAUGGCGUUGUGAUGGGUCGAAGAGUCCAGGACCUGAUGGGUUUAAUUUUAACUUCAUUAAGAAUAGUUGGGAGGUCAUAAAGGAAGAAGUUAUGGGUGUUAUGGCUGCCUUUUAUGCUUCUGGUUAUAUUCAAAAGGGAUGCAAUGCUUCUUUCAUAGCACUAGUUCCUAAGGUAAGGGACCCCGUAAUGCUAGAACAGUAUAGACCUAUUUCUCUAGUAGGGGCUAUGUAUAAGAUUAUUUCUAAGGUCUUAGCAGAAAGAUUAAAGAAGGUCUUACCCUCCAUUAUAGAUGAAAGUCAAUCGGCUUUUCUAAAGGAUAGAGGGAUUCUUGAUAGUGUGCUUUUGGUCAAUGAAGCGAUUGAGGACCUGAGAAGGAGAGGGAGGAGUGGGUUAUGUAUGAAGGUAGACUUUGAGAAAGCGUACGACUCGGUCAGCUGGGCUUUCCUCUAUGACAUGUUACAAAAGUUGGGGUUUCAUAGUAAGUGGAUUGCUUGGAUCCGAGGAUGUAUGGAAAGUACCACAGUCUCAGUGCUUGUUAAUGGAAGCCCCACGGAGGAAUUUAAACCCUCUAGAGGGGUGCAUCAGGGCGAUCCAUUAGCCCCAUUCCUUUUCUUAGUGGUAGCAGAAGGCUUGAAUGGUAUAGUAAGACAAUCUCUGAAGGAAAGGCUGCUCACAGGCCUCAAGUUCGGUAGAGACGAGAUCGAAUUGGCUAUUCUCCAGUUUGCGGAUGACACAAUGUUCCUAUGUGAGGAUUUUUACAACAAUGUGGUGACUUUAAAGGCUAUUCUUCGAGGAUUUGAGGUGGCCUCAGGGUUGAAGAUUAAUUUCUACAAAUCAAAAUUAGCAGGUAUCAAUGUCCUCAGACACAAUAUGGCAUGUUACACAAAGACUUUGAACUGUGCACAGAUGAGUAUUCCGUUUAAAUACUUGGGUUUGGAAGUGGGAGGGAACCCUAGGAAGAAAAAUUUUUGGGAUCCGGUGGUUAACAAUUUAAAAGCCAGACUUAAUGUGUGGAAAGGGAGAUUCUUAUCUAUGGCGGGAAGAAUAUGCCUUAUCAAAGAUGUGCUUACUGCUAUUCCACUCUACUAUCUAUCUCUUUUCAGAGCACCGGUAGCGGUGUGUAAGAGUAUCACCAGAAUUCAGAGAAGGUUUCUGUGGGGUUGGGGGAAGGAGAAGGAACCCAUCUCAUGGAUUAGUUGGAAAAUGGUUUGCAAACCAAGAGAGGAAGGUGGUCUGGGACUUAGAGAUAUUCAGAACUUUAACAUAGCUUUGUUGGCUAAAUGGAAAUGGCGUCUUAUAGGUGAAGAGAAGGGGAGGUGGAAGGAAAUGGUGGUCUCCAAGUAUGGAUCGGGUUAAGAAGUCCCACAAAUACCAGUGAGACUCCAAUCUUGGUGGUGGAGAGAUCUGUCUAAAGCUUGUGGGGAGGGCGGAGAUAAAGGAUGGUUCCAAAAAGAAGUAGGGUGGAAAGUAGGAUGUGGUGACAAAGUAAGGUUUUGGGAGGAUGUCUGGAUUGGGAAUUCUAGCCUUAAAAAUAUGUUUCCUAGAUUAUUUACUCUGUCCCUGAAUCAGGGGCAAAAGGUGGAAGAGGUUGGUAGGUGGGGCGAUGUGAUAUGGAGGUGGAACUUAAGGUGGAGACGUGCAAGAUUUGAGUGGGAAUCCAAGUUGGAAGAAGAGAUGUUAGUGUACUUGUCUACGACCAGUUUGCUCCGAGAAGAGAAGGAUGGGCAUACGUGGGGGAGUGAAGAUGAAAGGUGUUUUUCAGUGAGUUCUGCAUAUGUGUGCUUGGCUAACCAAGGAAGAGGACCACGCCUUGGGGUGUUUAAACUUCUUUGGAAGGCUAAAUCUUUCCCUAAUGUGGUGACCACGGCAUGGAGGGCCCUGACGGAUAGUCUACCAACUAGAGAGAGGUUGAGCAAGAAAGGGGUGAUGUUGAAUAAUCCCCUAUGUGUCCUUUGUCAGACUAAGGUAGAAUCCAGUCAACAUCUUUUUAUGGAAUGUAAACAUGCGCUGUGUGUAUGGUCGAUGUGCUUAAGAUGGGUUGGUAUAGUGCUUGUCCAACAUAAUGACAUAAAGAUCAACUUUGAGAGUUUCCACUUGUACCAUGUUAAUAAUAAACAAAAUUUGGUUUGGAGUGGGGUUUGGGUAGCAAUUGUGAGGAGUAUAUGGGAUCAAAGGAAUGAGGUGGUGUUCAAGCAGGGAGUAGUAGAUGCAUAUGAGAUUUUCCAAAAUGCCCAAAUCAAAGCAUGGUUAUGGUUAAAACAUAAAUCAAACUUUUUCACUUACUCUUAGGUAGAUUGGAUCCUAAAUCCAAUGGUAUGCAUCACAAGCUUGAAGUAAGUGGGGCGGAAGGCAGCUACUUGGUGUGACGAAGGCAGGAGGUGGUGUAGGUGUAUCUGGAGGGAGAUGUUAUCACAAGGAAGAGAGCUGACGUGAGAGGGAUGAUAUGGUGAAGGAGCUCUCCUCUGCUGCAGUUGUACGAUAUCUGUGGAGUCAUUGUAUUCUGUUUUCUAUGCAGGUGUGCGUAAGGAUGGAAUAGAUUCUACGUUGGUUAGAGUAGUAAAAUAUGUGGAGCUAUAAACUGGUGUAGCUGGAACUUGGUGGUGAAUACAUAUGGGAGCCGAGUAGACGCAGAACAAGUUGGAGCUGCAGAAGAGGUCCCGAUGAUGCAGAGCUACGGUGGUAACAAGGAUUCAUCCUCCUUGCGACUUUGGAUGCGGAAACUCUUCCUAUGCCAAGGUUUUUGCUGAUCAUUACAGUGUUUCAUGUUUGGGAUAGCAUCGCUGUAAGUUAGUUUAGUGCCAUCAGGUUAUGCUUUUUAGCAGGAUGGGAUUAAGAACCAUUUUAUUUUGUUGUUGUCUAGCUUUUAUUGAAAACGUGGUGAAACCCACGUGUGUAGGGCCUUGCUGAGAGGUUCAUCUGCUGCAGGUUUGGAAGCCUAAAUUACAUGGGAGCUCCACAUGUGACGGAUGGGUUGUUGUAUAAGGGUUGGGACAUCCCUGAAAUGUUCCUAUUAAUUUAUUUAUUCUUUGCUGAUAAAAAAAAAAAUAUUUGAAACAAAACUAAAUUCACAAAACUCCUUAUUUCUUUCUAUGACUAUCUUAUAUGUUUCUUAGAUAUUCCUUUUAAAACACUGUCUUCCACCUCGACCAAAUCUACGGAGAUUUCCUUAGCUGAUAUCACAUCUUCAAGUAAAUUAACUUCCUUCAGCUAGAACAUCCCACUAAGUUGUAUCUGUAUUGUUAUCAGAGUUGAAUCUCCUUUCCUCUCUCAAACAACCCACAAGUUGUAUCUCUAUUGUCAUAUAAUUCAAUCACAUUUUUAACGUGAGGCAACACGGAAGAUAUUCCAGCUACAUUUUCUUUGGCUCUCGUUUAUACACGUAAGUGAGAGUGAAUAUGCGGUUCCCUCAAACAAUGCAGCGUACGUAAACUGUUAUAUAUAUUCAUCAUAUAUAUUCAAAAUCUACCCCAACAUAGCACAGUGACACAACUGAAAAGUGUGUCUGCAUUACAACAUUAAAAUGUAUUUAGUAUCGUACAUGAUCAUGAGUAGCAAUGUGUACUAAAAAGUUUGAGUCCCAGAGUCUUCACUGUAAGUCUGUGGCUCAUUCAAACAUGUCCACUCCUUUACUCUAUCUCCAAAAUCCUUGAAGCCAACUUCUGCAUAGUCCUGGAACGGUGCAAUAAUUAUAUAAAAUAACUUUUAAGAUUAACUAAAAUAUAUUUGCUUCAUCUUAAUUGAUCAUAUUUUGUAAUCUGUUUGGCUACAGAUUAGCUUCGUGAUCUGUGGAUGUCACUGUAUUGGUGUAGUGUUUUGUAAAUUUUUUCAUUGGUAGGUAUAUUUUAUAUAAGGAUUGGGUUCAUUUAAUUUAUUUCUUUUUAUUGAUAAAAGAAAUCUUAGUUUAUCCGCACGUCUUAAUUUUUUUAAAAAUAUAAACAUAUUGUAAAUCUUAAAUUUAUGCUAAUAUCCUUUAAUAUUGUUCUAGAAACGAAAAGGUGAUUAGUCGUGGUAACUUUUUAUUCAACGUAAUUAUUAAAUUCUAAAUCCCAAAAAUAUCUCAUAUGAUUUUCUUCCACCAUUUUAUUUAUAAUGUUAAAAAUACUCGUGAUUCUAGUAUUUCGAAUUUGAUAAAAAUUAAAAAUUAACUAGUACAUUAGCAAAAUAUUUAAUUUUAAUUCAUUCAAUAUUAUUGAUAAAACUAUCUUAAAAACUUUUCCAUGAUUAUGGUUGGAUGAUAAUCGUUAAUUUAUAAAACUCAUAUUAUUAGAAUAGAUUUUAUUAGUGUAAUGUUUAAAUGAAAAAGAGGUUGUCAGAAAAAUGUAUUAUUAAAUUUUGAAUACUGUAAAUAAAACAAUAAGCAUUGAUCAACAUUCUUUAUUUAAUUCCUUCUACGUGCAAGCAACUUUUUCUUGUAUAAAGAGCUCGAUCCUACAUACCGAUAGCUAUUAAAAAUAUUUAUUUAACUGAGUUUUUCUUUAUUAAAUAUGAAACAAUGAAAAAAAAAAUAGACAUUGUCCACAUCAGUUAAAAUAAUGUAAAAAAAAUUUGGCGCUUAGGUAACCCACUAUCUACACUUAUCAUGGAACUCACAUUGGUACCUUAUGUUUCAAAUUCUCCCAGCAGAGCUGCAUAUAUGAAUUACAGAGACCUUGAUAUUGGGGUAAAUAACAAUGGCUACACAAGCUACACACAAGAUAAAUAAUUUUUUAAUUUAUAUUUUGUUAAACAUGUACGAUCAAUUAAACUAAUAUUCACUACCAAGUAGUACAGUCAACUUAGUUAUUUCUAAGUCGAUCGACACAAAUAGAAUUCACUUAAUAUUAGACUAUAAUUCACUUAAUAUUAGACUAUAAUAGAGUAGGUUUAAUCAUUCUAAGUCGAUGCUAAUUAUUUUAACAUUCUUAACCAGUAAAAAUAUUUUAUGUUAGUGUUAAAUUAAUGUUAAUUUUGUCAAUGCUAACUAAUAUAAAUAUUAAAAUUAGUAAAUGAUGGAAGAAGUGUCUUCAUGUGUGACAAAACUUGAAUGAUGGUGGCGAAAGCAUAUGAAAGAGGCAUGCAAGGAUCUCCUAAGAGAUGUGGUAUCUUUAAAGGUGCAUGAGAUGUAUGAUGAGUGAUAGGUUAGGCCUAAUCACUUGAAGGGUGAAGAAUGAAGAUCAAACGUCUAUCCUAGGAAGAGUAGAAGACAAGAGUGUAAUUGGCAUAAAUUUUGCAAAAAUUCACUCAUAUGCUUAAUUUUGCAAAUACAUGAACCAAGCUACUCAUUAUAUAACAAUUGAGGGCUGAAAAUUCAAAUGAGGGAAAUUCAAAUGAACUUUCCACCAAAACGUGGCGUCUAAUGAAACACAUGGGAGGGGUGUGACUAGUGUUGUACGCUCACCCCCUUUAUGGGCUUUCUAAACCGACCUUGGUUAAUUUAGAGGUUUUAGAAACCCUAAAUUAACCUAGGUUGGUGUUUUAGGUGCCAAAAUUAAUUCUAAGAAAAAAUACAAAUAAUUUCCUAUUCUAAUUAAAUUCUACUCUACACUAGAGUUACGACAUCCUUGAUCAUGUAUUGGGAAGUUUCUCUGUUGUCAGUAGCCAUAUCCCAGUCUUCUUGGAUCUUCUUGGCUGUAGCUCUAGUGGUAGGCCCGAAUCUUCUCUUUGUUGGACUUGUAUUUGAACUUGUCCUUAGACCUCUUCCAUCAGUAAGGUUCGUAUAAACCUAGUUGAUGCUAAUAUUAUUUAUUGUCUAUUUCUAUUAUUUAUAUUUAUUAAGUUAGUGUAAGUUAGAUCAACAUUAAUUUCUUUAUUUUAUUACUUAUUUAAGUUAAGUCAACAAUAGUAUAAUAUAUUUUUAAUAUUUAUUUAAGUUAGUGUCAGUUAAAAUGAUGUUAAUUCAUAUGUUAUGAAUUUAUGUGUAUUGGUAAAAAUAAAUAUAAACCAUGAAUUAUUUUUAAUCAAAAGGCAUUCAUAAUUUGAAAGUGAAGAUCGUCCUCAACAUAUCAUUCAUAAUUUCAUUAGUUUUAAAAAAUUACAUAAAAAGAAAAUAAUGUAAUAUAUUUAAGACACUGUAAUAGUAUAUAUUCUAUAAUAAAAGAUUGAAUAAACAUAAUAGUAUAUAUUCUAUAAUAAAAGAUUGAAUAAACAGGAAGAACCAUAAUGUAGAUUUUUUUUUCAAAAUGGUAUAGUUGAUAUGAAAUUAUCUUAUGUUAAUGAAAAAACACUGAAUUGGAAUAAAUGCUUUCUCUUACACACAGAGGAGAAAUUUUUCCCUAUGAUUUAUUAUAAUAAUGACAAAACUUAAUUUUACGAAAAAUUGAUUCCUAAGAAGAAUAAAUGGAAGACUUGCAUUUUUUGUUGUUUUAUGUUUAAUUAUAGGUGAGAAAGAUCUUUUUCCAGCAUGAUAACUUGUUAAGAUUUCAACAUCCAACAUGUUCAUGUAGAAUCCACAACAUAGUAAUCUUGUUCCAUUACAUAACACAAAUUUAGGGUCUAUGUUUCACAAGAAUGGUGCCCCUUUUAUUAAGCUUUAAAAUAUGGGGUGGCAAGCCAUCUAAAGCAAUGGAGUGCAAAUACUCUUGUUGGUAUAUAUUAUGUGUGUCUCCUUCAACCUCAUCAAAAGACAAUAAAUGGUGUUGUUUUCCCGAAUAAUUAUCAAUAAUCAUGUCAUUAAUUUUUUUCAGCAACUUCAUGUUUUGGAGUCAAUACUCUCUUAACCAUAUAAAAUGCAAUCCAUAUAUGAAAUUGCAAUUGAGGAAAUGUUUCUUGUGUAAGUUUUUGUAUUAAACUCACUCAUUCCCAUGGUAUUGCUAGUUAAUGGAGUAUUUUCACCAUUUUUUUAUUAGCAAAGAAUAAAUAAAAUAAAAUGAGGCACUCAAGGGUGUCCCCAACCCUUAUACAAAUAAUCCCAACACAAGCUUCUUAUCACCCAACCAAUUGGAGAUCCAACAAACAUUAUGACACAUCAACAACAUUAACAUACCAUAAUAAGAUACAAGAGAACAUCAAUAUACAAUUACAUCAACCCUCCAAAGGAACACAUUCUCAAGACAAGACACAAAAGUCCAACAACUAAACUCAGUCUUUGUCAGUAAACAGAAGUAAACCAAACACCCAAGCGCCAAAUCCAUCAAGUCGACCCUACGAUGAGGAUAUAGUAGUCAAAAAUCCUGCACAAAACACACCACGUCUUCCAAAUCUGGACAAAUCAUUGAACAAGAAUCAUCAAACAUCAGUCUCUUAAAUAUCUCAUAUAACAUAAAGGUUUCAAAUACCAAUCCGAGUAGGAUAAAUCAACUAAUCUUUCCUUUACCAGAACCCAAGACCAAAAUUGGAGUAUUUUCACCAUUUCAUCAAGAAUUGUAGGUUCAAUCCCUUCUCCGAUGUGCUUGAGAUAUUCUACAAAAUUGUGAUCUUGUAAUGAUCAUAUGUUUUGUUGUAAAUGUAACACCUUUGUGUUACUUCAUAAAGGAGAUUUGACAAUACAUGCAUAAAUCAUUUCUAUCUUUGUACUCUUUUGAACGAUUAACAAUACUCAACAAAAAUCUCCUCCUAAUAUUCUCACUUUUACCUCAAAUGGAACAUCACAACUAGAAUCUCAUUUAAUGAUCGAUCUUAUGUCUUCAAAGCAUAUCUGUUAGUCAUGGGUGUUUCAUCACAAAUAAUUGUUUUUGUUUCUCUUAAUAGAUUUGCAAGAUCUAAUUAUUUGCUUAUUGAACAAAAGGAACUAAAGAAUGUGAAAUUCGACAACUAGGUAACAAUGUUGCUGCUAUACUAGAGAAGUUUGUUGCUAAAAUAAUUUUUCCUUUACAUUUGUAAUAUGCAAUUUAUGUACGGUAAAGGAAUGUUUUACUAGUUCCUCUUAGUCCAUCCAAAAAAAAUAUUUGAAUUUGCUUAUAAUGGAUUAUAUCUAAAAUGGUAUUAAAAGCAAUCAAAUGGUCAAUGUUUAACACUACAAAAAAACUUGUAUGUGGUGGCGGUUAUUAAAAACCGCUACAGUUAGUUGUAUAAUACGACAACUUCAUAACCGCCAUAAUUUUUCUUUAAAAUGUGGCAUGUAGAAUCACCAUAAUUAUCCUCUGAAAUAAAUGUUCUCCCGCAUUUUGUUCCCUAAGUAACCUUCCUCUUUCCUAAUGUUUUUUUUUUCGUAUUUCAUUUUUUCACUCUUAAAUAUACAACUUUGACUCUUUUUUCGUAUUCGGCCCUCACUCACUGAAUUUUCCCCUCUUUUGUAUUCCCCUCGCUGAACCUUCUCACCGUAACACAACCUCUCUAACUAAACCUUCCUCUAUUUUGUAUUCCCCUCUCUUAGUGAACCCUUUUCAUUGCAACUGUUCUCAUUCUGUGCAACCCUUCUCUUCUCACUCUCAUUAGAAAUCCUUCACAUUCUCAAUCUCACUGAAAGCCUUUCAUAGUCUCACCACAAACCCCUCUUCUCACUCUAAACGAAAACCCCUCUUCUCAUUCUUACCAGAAACUCUUCUUCUCAAUCUCAUCGCAAAGUGUUCUCACUCUCACUGUUUUCAGCCUCAUUGCAAACCAUCUCACCCUCUCACUCUUCACACCGUAAUUUUUUACCGCCAUUGCCGUCGCAAUCAUUGGUUUGUUGUUGCAACAGGUACAUCGUCGCAACGAAUCUACUUUUUUGCAAUGUUAUGAUUUUGAAAUUGGAUUGAAUAUAUAUUUGUUAAAUACUGUUUGAGGUAUGAGCUGAAAUGCAUUGAAUAUGAUUUUGAAAUUGGAGUAAAUGUAUAUUGCUAAUAUAGUUUGAGGGAUGGACUGAAAUGCAUUGAAUAUGAUUUUUAAAUUGGAUUGAAUAUAUAUUGGCAAAUACAGUUUGAGGGAUGUGCUGAAAUGCAUUGAAUAUGAUUUUGAAAUAUUGGAUUGAAUAUAUAUUGAUAAAUACAGCUUGAGGGAUGGCCUUAAAUGCAUUUUUUUUAUCAACAAAAGCCUGAAAUGCAUUGAAUAUAUAUUGUUAAAGUUUCGUGUAAAUAUCCUUAUCUAAGGUUUGGGAGACUAUAAAAGAUGUUGUGUUGAGUGAUAUGAAAAUAAAAUGUUUUCAAGGAUAAAAUAUAAUUAAAGGGUUGACAACAGUUUAUUUGUACCUUGUAAUGCGAUGAAUGGGGUUGACUUUUGUUGAAUCUUAAAUGUAAUAAUAAAGUAUAAUGUUAAACUGAUUAUCUCUUUUCAGUCCUUAAGCAUUUUGCUGUCCUUAUGCAUUUCCUUUUUCAUAAAUGUAAUAAUAAAACAUGAUGUUAAACUUCAUAUGUAAAUGCUUCUAGUUAUUAUAUAUGGAGAAAUUUUCACACCUAAAUGCUUCUGAUUAUAUAGGGAAAUUACAUAUGAAAAAACUUCAACAUGUAUACGCUCCUAAUCAUUAUAUAAAAAAAUAAAAAUUCACACGUAAAAAUUUCUACUUGACUAUGACGUCAUUGUCUACCAAAAUAUUCGUAUAUGAAUAAAAAAAUUGUAUAUAAAUUCCAAUUAUAUUCAAAAUAUAUAAAUGCGCCUAGUCAUUAAAAAAAUUAUUAUCAUUAAUAUUAUUCCUAUUAAUAAUAAUAACAAUAUUAUUUAUUAUUAAUUGUUAUUAUUAUUGAUAAUAAUAAUCAUAAUAAUAGUAAAAUUAUUAUUAUCAUCAUUAAUAAUAAUAAUAAUUAUAAAAAACUAAAUUAAUCAGUAAUUUUUGUUAUAUAUUUAGUUAUAAUAUUUGUGUUCGAUUCUACUCUAACAACACAGUAAUAUUAAUAAAAAUAAAAAUAUUAAUAAAAAUAAUUGUAAUAAUAAAAUUAGUUAUAAUCAAAAUAAUGAUAUUAAUGUCCAAUCAUUGCCUAAACAGUUUAUAAAAUUUUAAUACCUAAUGAUAUUUGUUGAUAAUUUUUGAAUGUUCUUUCCUCACAAAUAACGUGGUAUCUAUAUAUUGUCAGAACAACUGGUCAUUUAUAAUUCUCUCGGUGUGCUCUGGAAGUUUGUUUGCUGCAGAUUUAUUGCAGCUCAAUAGAGGACGCAAUGCUGCAGAUGAUGUGAAAGAAUUAAUUGCAGUAGGUGUUUCAACCACAACUGAUGAAGUUCUUUUAUAUCACGAACAUAUGGAUGGUGGCCUGAUUGUGAUUUUGGUUGAGUGAUACAAGGUGCAAUCUUGGUACACAGGAAUAAAGCUGAAGAUCUCGGCAGGAAGUAAUUCUGGUUGCUGCUAUAGGUAGUUGAGAGAGGUAGCACCAGUUAUUAAGCUUUGGAUGUGGAGGUUGUGUUGCAAGCCACUCGUUAAGGUAGUUGUCAAGUUGGUGGGAGGAUUACGUUGGUUUUCUGGUGGUUUUGAAAUCCUGUUUAGUGUUAUUUGCACCAGUCCAACAGAAUAAUAGAAACAGAAUGGAGGCUGGUGUAGGUUGUUUAUUUAUGCAGUAGUUUUUAUUUUCCUCCUAUUUUGGGGAGUUCUUUUUAGAGGUCUUAAAACAUGAUUGAGAGUGUGUAAAGGGUUAGGAUAUCCUUUUCUAUCUCUCUUAAUUUAAUUUCAUUCCUGAUAAAAGAAAAUGUAAUAUAUAAUUCAAUAACAUUUUUAACGUGACGCAAAACACGGAAGAUAUUCCAGCUACAUUUUCUUUGGCUCUCGUCUAUACACGUAAGUGAGAGAGUGACUAUGCGGUUCCUACAAACCAUGCAUGCAACGUACGAGAAAUCUCAUAUCUAUUCAAUCAUAUCUAUUCAAAAUCUACCCCCAACAUAGCACAGUUACAAAACUGAAAAGUGUGUCUGAAUUACAAUAUUAAAAGUAUUUAGUCUCGUACAUGAUAAUGAGUAGCAAUGUGUACUAAAAAUACUUAUAUGAACUAAUUCUAGUAUUUCGAAUUUGAUAGAAAUUAAAAAUUAACUAGUACAUUAGGAAAUACUUUAAUUUUAAUUCGUUCAAUUUUAUUGAUAAAACUAUCUUAAAAAAAAUUCCGUCAUUAUGAUUGGAUGAUAAUCGUUAAUUUAUAAAAUUCAUAUUACUAGAAAAGAUUUCAUUAGUGUAACAUGUUUACAUGAAAAAGGAAAACUUAUCUUUUCACACUAAAACACACACUUUACAAUUCUUUAUAAUAAUAUUUUUAAUUAAAAAAUAAAAUAAAAAUAAUAAAAAUAUUAAUAUUUUAGGAUGUUACAUUUCACAACUCUUUAUAAUAAUAUAAUAAUAUUUUAAAUCAAAAAAUAAAAUAAAAUAAAAUAAAAAUAUUAAUAUAUCACUUCUCAAUAAAAAAAAGUUGUCAGAAAAAUAUAUUAUUAAAUUUUGAAUAUGGUAAAUAAAACAAUAAGCAUUGAACAUCCCUUAUUUAAUUCCUUCUAUGUGCAAGCAACUUUUUCUUGUAUAAAAAAGUUCUAGUCUCUAUACUUCUGCACUCAGGAUGUUAACAUAAAGGAAAUAAUCUCGGAUGCUGAUAUGUUACCACUAAAAAAAAUCUACUUCUCAAAUUAAUAAAAUAAUAUUUUAAUCAUAUUUAAUUUAUUUUUUAAUUUUAAAUAUUAUAUUAUUAUUAUAAGAUGACUUUUUUUAUAUAUAUUUUACUGUGUAUGAUGUGGAAGAAAUCUUUCCCAACAACCUCAUUCUUCAAAUAUAUUUUUUUUUAAUAAAACGUUAUAUUAUAAUAAAAUAAUAAUUUAUUGAAAUAUAAAGUAAAUGUUCCAGUUAAGGAUAUCAAAGAAUGAGUGGUCUAACAUCAGACUCCAGACUACUAUAAAUUAGGGACUCCGCAUUGCUCUUUCUCAAAUUACAAUUCUCAUAUCAACAACAAACCAUACAUAGAAAUGAAGUAUCUAAGCUCCUACUUUACCUUUGCUACUGCCAUUGCACUCUUUUUUUCCUUUCAACCUUCUUCAGCAGAUUCUCAUGAAAACUUUGUUCGAUGUCUUUACAAUUAUCCCCACAUCACCAACACAAUCUCCAAUGUUGUUUACACCCAAACCAACUCUUCAUACUCCUCUCUCCUAGAUCAUACCAUUGAAAUUCGUAGAUUCUCCAACUCAAGCUCAAAACCCCUUGUCAUUGUCACACCACUGGAUGUUUCCCAAAUUCAAGCAACUAUAAUCUGUUCCCAACGCCAUGGCCUACAGAUUCGAACCCGAAGUGGAGGCCAUGAUUACGAGGGUCUCUCCUACGUUGCCCAGGUUCCAUUUGUCCUCCUUGACCUCUUAAACCUUCGAGAAAUCACAGUUGACGAAGAAAGCCGAACUGCAUGGGUUCAAUCUGGGGCAACCCUAGGUGAACUUUACUACAGCAUUAGCCAAAAAAGCAAAACGCUAGGGUUCCCAGCUGGUUCGUGCGCUAGUGUGGGCAUUGGUGGCCACUUCAGUGGAGGUGGUUAUGGAUUCAUGAUGCGUAAGUACGGUCUUGCUGCAGAUAAUGUCAUAGAUGCUCACAUAAUCGAUGUGAAUGGUAACCUUCUUGACAGACAAGCCAUGGGUGAGGAUCUGUUUUGGGCCAUUAGAGGAGGUGGUGGAGCAAGCUUUGGAGUCAUUGUGUCUUGGAAGGNNNNNNNNNNNNNNNNNNNNNNNNNNNNNNNNNNNNNNNNNNNNNNNNNNNNNNNNNNNNNNNNNNNNNNNNNNNNNNNNNNNNNNNNNNNNNNNNNNNNCUGGUUCCAGUUCCAUCAACUGUGACAGUGUUCAAUGUUUCAAGGACAUUGGAAGAGAAUGCAACCGAGAUCAUUCAAAAGUGGCAGCUUGUGGCCCAUAAAUUGGACGAACGCAUAAUGAUUAGGGUGGACAUAGCAAGGGUUAAUUCAAGUCAACAUGGAAAGCUAACAAUACAAGCCAGUUUUGUGUCCUUGUUUCUGGGAGGAGUAGAAGAGCUUAUUCCAUUGAUGCAAAACAACCUCCCAGAGUUGGGUUUGGACAGAAACGACUGUAAAGAGACGAGUUGGAUUGGGUCAGCUAUUUUCACCAAUGCUGUGUUGAUUGGAUCUUCAGGGAAUGAAUCCCCCGAAUCUAUGCUCAACCAAACUCAAAUUCGUUCUGGGUAUUUCAAAGCAAAAUCUGAUUAUGUGAAACAACCCAUUCCUAUUGAGGGAUUACGAGGAUUAUGGCGUUUGCUUUGUGACGUUAAGGUUGAAUAUGCUCAACUUCAAUUGGCUCCUUAUGGGGGCAGAAUGUAUGAGAUUUCGGAAUCUGAAAUUCCAUUUUCUCACAGAUCUAGAUACAUAUUUCAUAUUCACUAUAACACCAAAUGGCAAGAGGAAGGGGACGAGAUAGCACAAAGGCAUAUGGAUUGGAUUAGAAGACUCUAUAAAUAUAUGGAACCUUAUGUUUCAAAUUCUCCAAGAGCUGCAUAUAUGAAUUACAGAGACCUUGACAUUGGGGUAAAUAACAAUGGCUACACAAGCUACACCCAAGCCAAAAUCUGGGAUUUGAAGUAUUUCAAUAAUAAUUUCAAGAGAUUGGCUAGAGUGAAGACCAAGGUGGAUCCUGACAAUUUUUUCAGAAACGAACAAAGCAUUCCUAUACUGUCGAUGGAAGAAUAUUAAAUUAUUUUUAAACCAUCUAGUAUGUAAAAUUCAAAUAAAAUAAAUUUAAUGAAUGGUAACUCAAAUGUUUAAAAUUACGUAGACUAAAUAAUAGUGUUCACAAAAAUGCCAAGUUAUUAGAGUUGCAUUGACAAAAAAAAAGCAAUCUGGAAGACUACUCUAACAAAGUUAUUUUUUUUAAAAGUUGACAACGUAAAAUAAAUAACUUUUUAAUUUCACAACUCUUUAUACUAAUAUAAUAAUAUUUUAAAUUAAAAAGUAAAAUAAAAUUAAUUAAAAUAUUAAUAUUUUAGAAUGUUAAGUGUAUAUUGAUUAUGUGAAAAAGUUGUCAGAAAAAUAUAUUAUUAAAUUUUGAAUACUGUAAAUAAAACCAUAAGCAUUCAACAUCCCUUAUUUAAUUCCUUCCAUGUGUAAGCAACUUUUUCUUAUAUAAAAAAAGCUCGAUCCUACAUACCGAUAGUUAUUAAAAAUAUUUAUUUCACUGAGUUUUUCUUUAUUAAAUAUGAAAUAAACUUCUUUUAAAAUGUAUCCGUGUCGGAUGCACAUAUUGGUGUCGACACUCGUAGGACACUUAACGGUUAAGUAUUCAAUUCAAAAAAUAUUUGUUGUAUUUUUUAAAAUUCUAGCAUGAUUUUAACACAAUUUUAAAAGGUAUAAAUACAAUAAUUUUCUAAAAACUCAAAUUUUUGUAUAAAUUUUUAUUAAAAAUAAGGAACAAAUUCUUUUGAACCAGUCAUGAAAAAUAUCUUACAUUCUCUCAAAGGAAUAUGAAACAUAUUUUUCCACAUAAAUAUUUAUUUUCAAUUUAUAUAAUUCAAAAUUAUAUAAUAUAUAGAAUCGUGUCCCCGUAUCCUACAUUUUAGAAAUUAUACGUAUUUUCGUAUCCGUGUCAUGUCACUGUCCGUAUCCAUAUCUAUACUACGUAUCAUUAAAUGGUUAAACAUGGGUGUUGAUAUAUAUUAAUACUCUCUAUACUAAAAACAUUCACUUUAUAUCAUAAUAAAUUAAUAUCUUAUUUUAUUUAUUUAAUAUCAAAUGUAUAUCAUGUACUUUAAACAAAAUUUGGUCAAAAAAAAUACAUACAUUGGCCCAUUUGUCGCAUCUUGCUUAAAAUAAUAUAAAAAGCAAUAUUAUAAUAAAAUAAUAAUUUAUUGAAAUAUAAAGUAAAUGUUCAAGUUAAGGAUAUCAAAGAAUGAGUGGUCUAACAUCAGACUCCAGACUACUAUAAAUUAGGAACUCCGCAUUGUUCUUUCUCAAAUUACAAUUCUCAUACAGAGAAAUGAAGUAUCUAAACUCCUACUUUACCUUUGCUACUGCCAUUGCACUCUUUUUUUCCUUUCAACCUUCUUCAGCAGAUUCUCAUGAAAACUUUGUUCGAUGUCUUUACAAUUAUCCCCACAUCACCAACACAAUCUCCAAUGUUGUUUACACCCAAACCAACUCUUCAUACUCCUCUCUCCUAGAUCAUACCAUUGAAAUUCGUAGAUUCUCCAACUCAAGCUCAAAACCCCUUGUCAUUGUCACACCACUGGAUGUUUCCCAAAUUCAAGCAACUAUAAUCUGUUCCCAACGCCAUGGCCUACAGAUUCGAACCCGAAGUGGAGGCCAUGAUUACGAGGGUCUCUCCUACGUUGCCCAGGUUCCAUUUGUCCUCCUUGACCUCUUAAACCUUCGAGAAAUCACAGUUGACGAAGAAAGCCGAACUGCAUGGGUUCAAUCUGGGGCAACCCUAGGUGAACUUUACUACAGCAUUAGCCAAAAAAGCAAAACGCUAGGGUUCCCAGCUGGUUCGUGCGCUAGUGUGGGCAUUGGUGGCCACUUCAGUGGAGGUGGUUAUGGAUUCAUGAUGCGUAAGUACGGUCUUGCUGCAGAUAAUGUCAUAGAUGCUCACAUAAUCGAUGUGAAUGGUAACCUUCUUGACAGACAAGCCAUGGGUGAGGAUCUGUUUUGGGCCAUUAGAGGAGGUGGUGGAGCAAGCUUUGGAAUCAUUGUGGCUUGGAAGGUAAAACUGGUUCCAGUUCC